GUGGCUUCCUGCAUUUGGCGGGGUCUUUGUCUCUCGCUGGCGCUGGCACAGGAGCUUGGGAUCCGUCUCCUCUUUCGCCUCCUCCACCUUGGGAGCCCCGGGCUACUCUCUCACAGCCCUUGUUGCCCUGUGAUCUGAAGGUCCUUGGGGACGCAUAGUUAAGGUGCCAGGACAUCCUGGAAGCUGGGAAAUGUGUGAAGAUUUCUUCCAGACCAUGGCUGGAGAAGGAAAGAAGGUGUGUUUUGCCUGAUUCAGGGACUAUAGAGAGAACCAAGUUCUGCAGGCCUGUCACCUAAGUCUCAGGUGAGUAUGAAUUCUCUUGUGUUUUUGGCAGAUUGUUGCAGUGUCAGGACCAAGGUCAAAUGAGUUAUAGCCAAGUCUACAGUAAGAUGUGGCAGUAUUCUGUUUUGAAGCCGGGACCAUGAUUGGUAAGCUUGCCACUUGGUCAAGUGCUCACCCUCUGAAGAUGUCUUCCUUGGUCUUUGCCUCCAGCUGGGUGUCACAAACUCUGAACUGGAUUCCAAGGCUUUCAUGAAUUCACUUAUGUUUGCUGUGGCAGCUGCAUUAUGUCGUGGGGGAUGUGGAUGCAGAACCUCACAUUCUGUCAUCUUGCUUAUGUUACUCUCCUUUAUGUUUCACUUUCUCAAAUGAAUGUCAAGCAGGUGAUUUUCAGAUUCAAAAGUUCUAAAAUAAAUUGCUCAAAUUUACACAUUAUGUAAG
rnacentral:lncRNA from 1 species